rnacentral:rRNA from 1 species
AGGAGUGGAGCCUGCGGCUUAAUUUGACUCAACACGGGACACCUUACCAGGCCCGGACACCGGAAGGAUUGACAGAUUGAGAGCUCUUUCUUGAUUCGGUGGGUGGUGGUGCAUGGCCGUUCUUAGUUGGUGGUGCGAAUUGUCUGGUUAAUUCCGUUAACGAACGAGACUCUAGCCUGCUAAAUAGGCGUAUUACCGGUAUCCUGAAGGCUCGUGGCUCUCGUCUCCUGUCAUAUGUCGCUGUGGCGUGUCAUCGUUUAGGCGUUGCGCGUUGCACGGUGUAUGUUCAGUGCGUGAGUUCACGGUUUUUACUACCGGCGUACAUAUAAUUCUUCUUAGAGGGACAGGCGGCUUCUAGCCGCACGAGAUUGAGCAAUAAUAGGUCUGUAAUGCCCUUAGAUGUUCUGGGCCG